GGUGUGGGGCUGGGAAAGGAGAGGCCAGGGCAGCGUCUCUCGGCGCUGCCUUGCUUGGCCCGGCAUCCUCCCCUUCUGCUUAGUGCCCGAGGGGAAACUGAGGCAGCUGUCCAGCAGGGCACAAACAUCACUUCAGGAAGAUGCCUGGAACAGUGUCCAGCACUUAUGGGGCCUCCAUGUUGAAUGGUAAACGUUGAAUGUUGAGUGAUUUACUGGAGUUAGUUAGGGCAGAGCCAGCCUCAGGACCCAGAUGUCCAGGUGGCUGGACCAGGCCUCUUCUCCUGCUUGGCCUCACCAACCCUGCCACAGGUCUCCCACUGCACCCCUUCAGAGCCAGCAAUUGGUGAAUAAAUGGAGGCAAGAACGUAUGAAUGAAUCAUUUCUGUGCCUGAGCCAUGGAGAAUUUGGAGGUUUGUUCAAACCCGGACUCUCUGUUCUUUCAGCUGGAGGGGCUGGCCGGGAAGGCGAUCUCGGCACCUGAGCUGGGCCUUCCCCAGGCCUGUCAGCUCCCUGGCACGUGCACAGGGAGUGGGAAUGAGUGAGUGGGUAUGGGUGAGUGGGAGUGGGUAUGGGCCCCUACUCUAGUAGAACCUGUGCUAGGUGUUUUAUUUAUAUUAACAUAAAUAGGAAUGAGUAUGUGAGGGGACCUGGGGCCCACAGGCAAUGGGCAACCUGUGCACAGGGACACUGAGACAGGCUGGGCUUCUCCCUGCCAGGGCAGAGGAAAGGGAGAGCUCUGCCAGGGCCUGGGCAUCCUGGACUGGGGCCUCUCUCUCCUCGACAGGCUCUGUUGAAGGAAGCGGCCCAUGGAGGGGCCAGACAUCAAGGGCUCCUGGGACCUUGUGCAGAUGUGGGAUGUCUGGCCUGAGAGCUUCUAGGCCCAGUUCACACACUUGGGUGGGGAGGGAUUGGUGUUGGCCUGUUUGGGGGGUGAGGGGCCUGAGGAAAUGCCGGUCCUUUUGAUGCCCCAGAAGAGCUGCUUGCCCCCUGCCCCAGCCUGGAUGGAGGUGGCAUCCCCCAGGCCUGUCACCUCUCCCACACCCAGUGGCAGCCCUCCUCCCACGCCCCAGUGGCACUCUUCCAUAGCAGUUUCCACAGUUUUAUACAUGAAAAGGUCACACAUGGGGCAAAAUCUCAGCUUCCCCACUUACUAGUUUUACGAAUUUUGCAGGUAAUCUAACUUGGAGCCCAUUUCUCAGUUGUACCAUGGAGAUAAUACCUGUUAUCACCAGGUUGUUGUGAGUGUAAAAUAAGAUUCAACAAAUACCUAGCUGACAUCUUCAACCCUUGGGCCUUGCAAGGCUGAUGUGCAUCACUGCUGGGGAGGGGCCCCAGGUACCAAGGAAGAGGGAGGAGACGCUGAUUUCCUCCCUAGCCCCGGGCUCAGGCAGGCCACGUCAACCCUGAAACAGCUCCAGAAUUGCCCAGCCAAGAGAAGGGUCGAGAAUCUAAGCACCAGGUUUUUGGAUGGAACCUGACCUAGGUAGGCUCUUCUCAUCCUUGCCCACUCCUAAGGGUCUAGUGGUCUCUGAUGGCCAAAUACCAGAAGAGGUGUGUCCUGUUCUCACCACCUGUCAGCAGAGGGAGCGGGGCAGUUCCCAACCUCAUGGAACCUGCUUCCGUGUGGAAAAGGCCCUGUGGGAAUGGGCACCCGGAAGUGUCCUGGGCCGAGGGGAGAGGUGGUAAAAGGGCCCUGUGACACUGUGCCCACCCAGGGGUCAGGUGAGGAUGACUAAUCGUUUCGUGAGGUUCACAGGGGCUGGGUCACUCUAACUCUCCCCAUCCCAAAAGGGGCCCCAGAAACAAAACAAGCAGGGAGCAAGCAGAAGGUUAUUAUAUAUCAUGCUUUUAAUACAAACUUAAAAAAAUCUGGAACAAUAUAAACUGUACAGAUUUGAUCAAUCUUUUUGUUUUGUUUUUAAACUAAAUCUCUAAACACACCAAUGUUCCAUUCCAAAAUAUUGCACAACAUUCUGAAUACAAAACACUUGAUUGUAUUCCUCCUUCACUAAAGAAAACAAAUUCAUUACCCUGCUCCCGCCAGCUCCUCUCCAUGUUGCCUCAGUGCCCCCCUUCCCAUCCCCAGGGGUCAAACUAGAGAAUCUACAGCUCACUGCACUGAGAAAAAGACAUCAUUCUGGACUAAAAGUUUACUUCCUUUACAAGACGAUCCACCUUUUGACUUGUUCCUGGGAAAGGGGGGUAGACAGAGAGAGGAUGGGGAAAGGGGAGAAAUAGGUUUUAUUCUCCUCUUUUUUUAUUUUAAAGUUUGUUUUUCCUGAAAAAAUAUCUUUCUCUCCUCUUAAGAAAAAAUCUUGAAAAGAAAAAAAUUACCUUUACGUUAGAAAUAUACAUAUAUUAUAUAUACCUCUUACAUUUUACAAAUGUAGCAAAUUAUUCAAUACAAACGGACACCAAAAAAUGUAAAAAAUAAAAAAAAAAGUUUUCCUAUGAAACCAGGUAAAUUAGUGCAGAUUUUUGUUUUGUUUUCUUAAAAAAAAAAAUAAAGUUGAAGCAAAAAUGCCUAGAUUUGAGACAGACUGAGGUGGGCCCAAGAGCCCAGCACAGGAGUCAUGCUCCUGAUCACACAUUUUUCUUCGUAUUUCAAAAGACACUAAGGGGUUGGUCUCCCCCUCCCUGUAUGUGGUGAGGAACAAGCCGCCCAGGGUGUGGUGGGUGCCUGUGUGCAUGAGUGGGGGAAGAGGGGCUGGAAGGGGGCAUAAGGCAGCAUCCAACCUUUCCC